rnacentral:rRNA from 1 species
UGGGGAAUAUUGCACAAUGGGCGCAAGCCUGAUGCAGCCAUGCCGCGUGUGUGAAGAAGGCCUUCGGGUUGUAAAGCACUUUCAGCGAGGAGGAAGGUGGUGAACUUAAUACGUUCAUCGAUUGACGUUACUCGCAGAAGAAGCACCGGCUAACUCCGUGCCAGCAGCCGCGGUAAUACGGAGGGUGCAAGCGUUAAUCGGAAUUACUGGGCGUAAAGCGCACGCAGGCGGUUUGUUAAGUCAGAUGUGAAAUCCCCGGGCUCAACCUGGGAACUGCAUUUGAAACUGGCAAGCUAGAGUCUCGUAGAGGGGGGUAGAAUUCCAGGUGUAGCGGUGAAAUGCGUAGAGAUCUGGAGGAAUACCGGUGGCGAAGGCGGCCCCCUGGACGAAGACUGACGCUCAGGUGCGAAAGCGUGGGGAGCAAACAGAUUAGAUACCCUGGUAGUCCACGCUGUAAAACGAUGUCGAUUUUGGAGGUUGUGCCCUUGAGGCGUGGNUUCCGGAGCUAACGNGUUAAAUCGACCGCCNGGGGAGUA